rnacentral:rRNA from 1 species
UGGGGAAUAUUGGACAAUGGGCGCAAGCCUGAUCCAGCAAUGCCGCGUGUGUGAAGAAGGCCUGCGGGUUGUAAAGCACUUUGAGCGGGGAAGAAGGCUUGGGGGCCAAUACCCUCCGGGAUUGACGUUACCCGCAGAACAAGCACCGGCUAACUCCGUGCCAGCAGCCGCGGUAAUACGGAGGGUGCGAGCGUUAAUCGGAAUUACUGGGCGUAAAGCGCGCGCAGGCGGCCUUCCAAGUCCGACGUGAAAGCCCCGGGCUCAACCUGGGAACUGCGCCGGAGACUGGGAGGCUGGAGUGCGGGAGAGGGCGGUGGAAUUUCCGGUGUAGCAGUGAAAUGCGUAGAGAUCGGAAGGAACACCAGUGGCGAAGGCGGCCGCCUGGACCGACACUGACGCU